rnacentral:sRNA from 1 species
UUUUUUUUUUUUUUUUUAUAUGCUCAAAAGUGUGACGCUAUAUCUUGUAUCUAUUGCUACGUUCAUUCAUUGAUCCAACAGCAUGGGUAUAGAAAAACGAUAAGCAGGAGUUGCGCAAACGAAGUUAUGGAGUUUCUUGCAUGCAUGCAUGUUUUGGCAUAAAGCUGGUACUUCGAAAUAUGCCUAUGAAAUCUCUACCUGCUUUGCACCCUAAAUAUAACGUGUCGUCUUGUAGCUGCAUGUGAAUUACAACGAUUGAUAGAUGAAAAACAAAUCGACUUGUUGUCCAUUUCAUCGUUUCAAACGACUGGNAGUGUUGCUUGUGUCCAUAUCCAUACUAUGUCCGUGUGUUUUGCUUUAUUACACUUGGNCAAAGAAAUCUAUAUGAUGUUCUUUACGAAACCCACAAAGUCAUUAGGGAUAUCAUCCGAACAGAAGGGUAUAUAUGCAAAAUACACUGCAAGGGACUAAGCCCCAAGCACCGUAUUGUUUCAGUCUCGAAGUAAUUCUAUGUACCCCGNGCNUUGGGACAUGGUGCGNAUUGGACUUGAGUGGAGCUGACANCACUGUAUGANGGUCUGUUUGCCAAGAAUCAGGACNUGGUUGAAAAAAAGU